rnacentral:rRNA from 1 species
CAAUAGCGUAUAUUAAAGUUGUUGCAGUUAAAAGGCUCGUAGUUGGAUUUGUGGUGUACUUUGGCGGCCCGUCACACUGUGAUGGAGCUUGCUGAAGUCGCCAUCCUUGGGUGGAUCCUGUGUGGCAUUAAGUUGUCGUGCAGGGGAUGCCCAUCGUUUACUGUGAAAAAAUUAGAGUGUUCAAAGCAGGCUUAUGCCGUUGAAUAUAUUAGCAUGGAAUAAUAAGAUAGGACCUUGGUACUAUUUUGUUGGUUUGCGCACCAAGGUAAUGAUUAAUAGGGACAGUUGGGGGUAUUCGUAUUUCAUUGUCAGAGGUGAAAUUCUUGGAUUUUUGAAAGACGAACUACUGCGAAAGCAUUUACCAAGGAUGUUUUCAUUA